rnacentral:rRNA from 1 species
CCUACGGGUGGCGGCAGUCGAGAAUCAUUCACAAUGGGGGAAACCCUGAUGGUGCGACGCCGCGUGGGGGAAUGAAGGUCUUCGGAUUGUAAACCCCUGUCAUGUGGGAGCAAAUUAAAAAGAUAGUACCACAAGGAGAAGAGACGGCUAACUCUGUGCCAGCAGCCGCGGUAAUACAGAGGUCUCAAGCGUUGUUCGGAAUCACUUGGCGUAAAGCGUGCGUAGGCUGGUUCGUAAGGCAGGUGUGAAAGGCGGGGGCUCAACCCGCGGACGGCACAUGAUACUGCGAGACUAGAGUAAUGGAGCGGUAAGCGGAAUGGUCGGUGUAGCGGUGAAAUGCGUAGAUAUC